GUUUCAAGCUAUUUAUCCAAUGCCUUCAUAGAAGAGUACGUGAUGAUCAUUAGGUUAUUCAUAUGGAUUUGGCCUUAUUUAUAUUUGCUUUUAUGUUUCAUGAGCUUAAAGGUUUUUUUGCACUUUUCUCCUUUUAUUAGGACUUACAGGUAUCUAUGCAUGUAUACUUCCAUUUCAAGAAUUUUUAGACUUGGUUAUUAUACUAGUU
rnacentral:misc_RNA from 1 species